UUGCUCUAUGAUCUCUGUGUCCUGCAAGAUGAAAAGUUUGGAGUUGCAUAUUUCAAAAAAUGAUGAUGCAGCAAAUAAUUCUGCUGAUAUCAUUGUGUUAGAGUGCAACUGCACAGGGAGUAGAAAUGAUUUUGAUAAUGGCCAACAAAGUAUCUCCUAAUGCAUAUCAGGCAUCAUAUGUACAUGUGAAACAUAUUCACCAAAACCAGAAGAUAACUUGCUCUGAUAGCUAUAACAAUAAUGUGCUGUGGAAGUACUACUAAAUCAUAUGGCUGGAACACCACAAACAUUAAUCAGGAAGCCAUUCUCAGAUCAAAUAUUCCAUCUGUUCAUCUAUUAGUUUUUAAUAUUUGCUGCAGAAAGAUCCAAAAAUCUCAUCCUACCAGUCGCACCUGGGAGAAACUUCAAGCUUUGACAAGCAUACUUACCCCUUCAUUUUCCUCUUCUUAAGUCCAUAUUGUGAUGUCAAUUAGAGUUCUCCAAAUGGACCAGACCACUUUGGGAAUCAAAUCUCGUGACAUUUUAAUUAAAUGUUUAAAUUUUAUUCAUCUUCCUCAGAUAGAGAAUUCAUUAACUAGUGGCAAAAAACAUGAUGUUUGACUCAACCCCCACCAAACCUGACCCAAACUCACAAAGAAGAAGAUGAAGACACUCCACUUGUUACACUUUCAGCCAAACAUUCAAAAUGCACAUGUGUUUUAAAGAACCCUGAAAGUUAAAUUCAUGGGAAAUGGAACCCAAGUUAUUGAGAAACAUGAUUCCUUUUUUCUUUUCUUUUCUUUUUUUGUGAGCAACGUCUCUGUGUCUGCAAAUGUUAAUAUGGUGAUAAUUGUAUGUAUCAUGUUUACCAUUGUUUGAGAAUGAAUCAACUAGAUCAUAGUGGUAAUUAUUCUUAUUUUUAUCUAUGUCCUUUUGCUUUAUGGAUAAACCUCUAUGUAAGUUGGAAAACACUAUGUUUAGAAGCUUAAAAUUGGAAAACACUAUGGUUAGAAACUUAAAAUUGUUCCAAAGGCUAUACUGCAUAUACUUCCUACAAUCCUAUGCUCUGCUCAGCAAAGCAGAAUAUCUUCCAUGCUUGAGAUGAAUACUAUUACUAAGGGCUUCUUAAGCAUUAUGAUAAUUAUUCAAAAUACUUCUUCACCACUGGGUGCUUGGAAGUUUAUGCUUUGAUUUUGAUGGAGAUCAAGUUAAAAUAUGUGUUCCUUUUGCUGGUGGCGGACAAUUAAUUUUCUCUUUGAUGUCUUAUGGCCAAUAAUGCAAGUACUGAAAGUGAAGUGUGAUUCUAAAUCUUUUUCUUAUUUUCUAUUUCAGGUAUCAAGAUCUAUUGGUGAUGUUUAUCUGAAGAAACCUGAAUUUAACAGAGACCCAGUGUUUCAGCAAUUUGGAAACCCUAUUCCUUUAAAACGGCCUGUAAUGACAGCAGAACCCUCAAUACUCAUUAGAGAGCUCAGACCUCAGGACUUGUUCCUGAUCUUUGCUUCAGAUGGUCUUUGGGAACAGCUGAGUGAUGAAGCAGCCGUAGAGAUUGUUUUCAAGUACCCAAGAGCUGUGAGUUCCUCUCUUUGGCUUUUCAUCUCUCAUUUAUUGCCUUUUGUCUUUGACUUAUUUCAACUUUGAAGUUAGUCAAUUAAUCAAUUUAAACUUUGAUUGGGCUUUGGGAUAUCAUUUUGAAUUAGAAGCUUGAUUGAUUCCAUGGGAAUGCAAUAAUUCAGUUGAUUUUCGCCGUCCUAUAUCUUGUUUAUUGGAGCACGAGCAUUCCUUGAGUAAAAAAAAAAGUAUAUUUCUGGUAUUAUCUGAUCUCUUGAACAAAACAAUGUGUUUCAUUGCAUUGAAAAAUGAAGUAGAAGUUCACUUGGAAUUUUCAAUUGCAUAGUAUUUCGAUAACUUGGGAGGUUUUUGAGUAGUUUGUCUAACUAGGCUUUGCUGCUAUGUACCUGCAGGGGAUCGCUAAGAGAUUGGUGAGAGCUGCUCUUCAGGAGGCUGCGAAGAAAAGAGAAAUGAGAUAUGAUGAUAUAAAGAAAAUUGACAGGGGAGUAAGACGUCACUUUCAUGAUGAUAUUACUGUGAUAGUAAUUUAUCUAGAUCACCAGAAAGGCCCCUCAAGUGGUGGAUUGAAGCAGAAUGUCAUUGGCUGCACCACUGCUCCUGUUGAUAUUUUCUCUCUAAAUGCAGACCAAGUAGAGAAGGAUUUGCUUCAGUCAAUUUAUUGAAAAAAGGAAACCCCUUUGGAAGGCUGAUACUGACUUCUUGAUUUUUGGAUUAUACUUUGGAAUUACAAAUAUGGGUUACAAAUUGAUGCUGGUCAUGAGAAAGAAUUCAUGGUUGUGUAGAUAAGUUGAUGGAUAGAUGGAUGAGGAUUGAAAUUUGGAUUAAAAAAAAAAAGAAAAGGAAAAAGGAAAAAAAAACUGCCAUAAACUUUUCCAUGUAAAGAUCUAACCUUAUUUUUCUUCAUUGUGCUGAUGAUUAAUUGAUUAUAGAGAUUAUAUACAAUUUUGUACUAAGAGGUUACUUCUCCUUCUCUAUGGUUAAUCUUUGUCUACAUAUAAUGUUUAAUUUGAAGGUACUCACAUUGUUGUAUGGGGAAACGAAAAGAGGCACCAAGACAAUGUAAAUUGAUUGAUUAAAAACUUGGUAAAAUCUGUAAGAUCUUAUAAAUUCAUUAGAAGCAUGAAAUAAAAGAAACUUGUAAAUUUUACAAAAGAAACCAAAUAAAUAGUAGAAAGUUGAAAAGAGAGAGAGAAGAAAUGGGGUUUGAAUUUCAUAUCGAC
rnacentral:misc_RNA from 1 species